CACUCUCUUCACCUCCCCUCCCAUCCAAAAACCCACCCCACCCCCACCUUCCCCGAGCUCUUUCUCCUCUUCACCCCCACCCCCUUUCUCCCUUCUCUCAUCUGUAACCCACCUACUUCAUUGCGAGAGACCCCACUAACCCACUAAACAUACACAUUUGGUUCCAUCCCAAUCCCAACCUCCAUAGAUCUGAUCUGAUUUCUCCAUCUUUGUAAUUGCUAUUGUUUCUUAAGCUCCAGCUCCAACUCUCUCUCUCAAUGGCGUCCGAGGGAAUUCUGUUGAGGAUGGGCAACCCACUGCUAGACAUCUCCGCCGUCGUCGACGAGGGGUUCUUGCAGAAAUAUGACCUCAAGGCCAACAAUGCGAUUCUUGCAGUGGACAUGCACCUGCCCAUAUGGCAGAUGGUUUUGCUUUCAGCUGGGGCAUGAAAGUCAUUACAAUAUACUCGUGACCAAUUAGAAUCAAUCUCAUCUUUGGGGACGCCGUGUUUAACAUUUAGCAGAAGAUAACAUUUCUUCGAUCAGAAACAAUGGACUUCAUUGAGUUAGUAUAAUUAUAUAGUUUAUAAUCAGUGAACGGUGAGGAAUGUGUUACCAUAGAAAAGGACUCUACGAUAAUCGCAGUCGUAGAGAGGUUUCAUUUCUGAAAAAGAAUGAGUGGCCAAACUAAAAGAAGAAAAAGAAACUUUUUUUAUUUUAUCUGAGAAAUCUCACCGCUUGAAUUUGCAUUCAAAUUCAC